UACGAAGGGGGCUAGCGUUGUUCGGAAUUACUGGGCGUAAAGCGCGCGCAGGCGGUCUUCCAAGUCAGUGGUGAAAGCCCGGAGCUCAACUCCGGAAUUGCCAUUGAAACUGUGAGACUGGAGUACGAGAGAGGUGAGUGGAAUUCCCAGUGUAGAGGUGAAAUUCGUAGAUAUUGGGAGGAACACCGGUGGCGAAGGCGGCUCACUGGCUCGUAACUGACGCUCAUGCACGACAGCGUGGGGAUCAAACAGG
rnacentral:rRNA from 1 species